CUAGAAAGUCCAAAUCAGAGUAGUUUUAUUUAUCUUUCUAAGUAGCAGUGUCAAAGAAAAUAAUUAGUUAAUGUAGAUUGUGAUAAAUUACUAAAAGUGGAAAGAUUGAUCAAAAGUAUGGGUAAUAGGUUAUAAAAUAUACUAUGCAAUUGUUACACCAUUGCUUUCUGUUUUAUCUAGUGUCUUACAGAUGCUGUUGUUAUUUCUCCAAUUCAUGCUUGCUCUGUUCUAUAUAAAAUAUAUUUUGUCAUAAAAUAUAUUGUUUCUAUACACACAUGUAUACAUGUAUUAUGUAUAUAAACAUGCAUGUGUAUAUAGUACCCCUUUAUAAAAUACAUUGAUCAUUUGUGAGUAUAUGCAUGUAUAUGUAUUAUUGUCUUUAUAAAAUAUGUUGUGUAUCUCUACAUGUAUAUAUGUAUAUGGGAAUGUAUAUAUUUAAAAAUGAGGUUCAUUCAAGGCAUCAUAAGAAAUGCAGUCUUGACUCAGACACAUUUCUUUAGAAACUUAAAAAUGUCAUAGAAAAUAGUCUAUAUAUUUUUAAAAUUCCAUAUAUUCUUCAUAGCCUCUUUCAAAAGCCCAGAAAUAUUAUUAAUCAUUUAUUUUUGCUUAACCUCCCCCAAACAAAUCAAAUUAUUAUAUGAUAAUAACAUAUAAUAAUUUAGCUUCCAAGUUUCCUUUAGUUUUACAGAAUAUCAUAAUUUUUAAAAAGAACUGUUUUAUUAAACCAAGUGGGAAUGAUAUAAAUAGUCGCAUAAAUAAGAACCUUUCCUCCCAUGCUCUGACUCCUUUCCUUGGGCAUCUAGAUUAUCGUUGAUGCAAUUACCUUUUAGAAUCUUGUAAUGGGGGUGGAUAAGUGACAGGAGAGGCAAUUACAAGCAGCUCUCCUGCACAUGAUGUUGCCUGGAAGACUGGAAAAUUACAUCUCUUGAUGGAUGCCAGCUAUUGCAUUCACUGGGCUGGAAAUCUCCAUAUAUGGAAAGGAAAACUAACAGAAAAUGGAAGAAAAUACCAUCAGAGGCCAACAUGGAAAGAGAAAGAGAGGCUCAUUCAUGACAUGUGGUCUUUUGCAAAACACCGAAGACUAAAUUAUCUGUGGCAAUGUGUCUACUUUCAGACAUUCACACACGUACUAAGUAAUAACUUGGGAUGGAAAAUAAAAUAUUUACAACCAAAGCUUAACAAAUUCACAUGAUAUGUGUUCCUUUAUGAAGCAUGAAAUCUGAGAAUGGACUGCCUUGUGUCUGAGAAUGCACCUGCAUAGUUAAUGCUGCAGGGCUUGUGCCGAAAACUUACAAAUCUAAAAUGUAUUAUUUGGUUAAAAUGAGUUGCUACAUGAAGUGUUUACGGAUACAUAACAGGUGCAGAUGAAACUGUUGGUUCUGAAGCAAGGAUGGUUUGGGGCCUUUGUGC
rnacentral:lncRNA from 1 species